rnacentral:rRNA from 1 species
UACAGAGGGGGCAAGCGUUGUUCGGAAUUACUGGGCGUAAAGGGCGCGUAGGCGGCCUGCUAAGUCGAACGUGAAAUCCCCGGGCUCAACCCGGGAACUGCGUCCGAUACUGGCUGGGCUUGAAUCCGGGAGAGGGAUGUGGAAUUCCAGGUGUAGCGGUGAAAUGCGUAGAUAUCUGGAGGAACACCGGUGGCGAAGGCGGCAUCCUGGACCGGUAUUGACGCUGAGGCGCGAAAGCUAGGGGAGCAAACGGGG